ACAUGCAAACUCCACACAGAAAGGACCUGGACCGCCCAUACCUGGGGAUCGAACCCAGGACCUUCUUGCUGUGAGGCGACAGUGCUACCCACUUAGCCAACAUGCCGCCCUCUGUGGAUCAUUUAAAAAGAUGAAGGGAACGUCGCCGGAUAAAGAACGGAUCAUCAUAGAACAACAGAGACGUGAAGUUUUGACUAAUGAGGACACAAAUGAGGAUGUGUUCAAAACACACGAGGAGCAACAGAACCACUGCAGCAUCCGCAGAGCAUCAGAUAUUUUAAAGAAAGAAACCAGAUCUGUACAAGUGGACGACAACGACAAAGUGACCUCUGCCCUCUGAGAACAGCUCUGUAUCAUGUGGCUGGUUUCAGAGCAGGUCCUGUUUGAGCCGCACGUUUGAUCUGAAGAGGCGAACGCUGCUGCGCUGUUGCUUUUAUCAAAACCACAGAAUGGAUUUAAUCACCAAUUCUACACGUAAUCACACAUAAUGACAAGAAAACUCAGAGAAAUCAGAAAUCUCUUCUUUACAGGAUUAAACCUCGUUAUUCAGUUAUUCAGUGGCAUUAUUGUGUAUUUUAUCAGUUUAAGAAUUCUGGGCCCUGCUCCUGUUGGAUGUCAGGAUCACAUCAGGACGAUGGAUAAAUACGAUAUUUUAUAACAUGAACAAGAGUAAAGAAAAUCAAAAAGUCUUUUCUCCAGUCCUCGACAUGUAAUCAGUACUAGAACCACUGAACAGAACAGUUCUAAUAAUGAAUUAUUUAAUUAAUUUCUAUCUUAUUGUAUAUAUUCACCAUAU